rnacentral:rRNA from 1 species
UAAAACCAGCUCUUCGAGUGGUCAGGACGAAUAUUGGGUCUAAAGCGCUCGUAGCCGGACAAGUAGGUUCUUGGUUAAACCCGACAGCAUAACUGUUGGCAUGCUGGGAAUACCGCUAGUCUUGGGAGCGGGAGAGGACAGAGGUAGUCAUAGGGCAGGGGUGAAAUCCAGUGAUCCUAUGGCGACCACCGAUGGCGAAGGCAUCUGUCUGGAACGUAUCCGACGGUGAGGGGCGAAAGCUAGGGGAGCGACCCGGAUUAGAUACCCGGUUAGUCCUAGCCGUAAACGAUGCGGACUAGGUGUUACAGCGGCCAAGAGCCACUGUAGUGCCACAGUGAAGACGUUAAGUCCGCCACCUGGGGAGUACGGAUGCAAGUCUG